rnacentral:misc_RNA from 1 species
UUCGAAUCACUAGGAUGGGAAAUCGAAUCAAAUCAUAAGAUUCGAAUAACAGUGCUCUCUCGUAUGUUAUGGUUGUCUGCUAUUUGGUAUAAUCACGUUUUUUGUGAAAUUGUGAUGGUAAUAAUUGCCCUAUUAUACAGUACACUUGAUUUAGUACUCGGAAUCUGAAGUUGUAAUGGUGGGACAAGUAAAAUGCUAAAUGGGGCAAUUAAGGUAGGGUGGAAGGUUGAGAGACUGACUGAGGGGCAACCUUGGCCGCUCCUUCCCAACUUUUUGUUUGGAAUUUGAGAGAGAGAGAGAAGGUGAAUAAAUUAAUGGAUUAUUACAAUAAUUCUAGAAUGUUACAGUGAGUAUUUGAAAUGUUGUUUGGAUGGUUAGUGUAAAAUGUUCUGAUCCUCUUGGUUGUGGAUUUUUAUAAGUAUUCAUUGAUUUUGGUUUUCUUUCGAAUGCUAGAACAUCCAUUAACCUCUUGAGUCACUUUAUUUGGUAGGAUGAUCAAUUUAUUGACAUGU